ensembl:lncRNA
CGCACCCAGCCCCUAGCUCCUGCCCUGCCAUCUCAGGUGAACACCCAGCCCCCAGCUCCUGCCCUGCCAUCUCAGGUGAACACCCAGCCCCCAGCUCCUGCCCUGCCAUCUCAGGUGAACACCCAGCCCCCAGCUCCUGCCCUGCCAUCUCAGGUGAACACCCAGCCCCCAGCUCCGGCCCUGCCAUCUCAGGUCCCCAGAACAGACUCAGACCAGGGUGGAGAGAGAGACGGCGUGGAGAGUGUGGAUGGACAGGGAGGGAGAGAGCAAGACCCAACAGCAAAGAGACCUGGUCCCCAGAACAGACUCAGACCAGGGUGGAGAGAGAGACGGCGUGGAGAGUGUGGAUGGACAGGGAGGGAGAGAGCAAGACCCAACAGCAAAGAGACCUGGAGUGUCAAAGAGAGAGUGGUUGAAACAGCAGAAAGGCCAGUUGAACAGCUACAAGCGUGGAGACAGCCUGCGCAGCAGACCCAAAGUGAGCUACACAGAGGAAGAGGAGCC